CGGUCCCCGCUUUGUCACUGAAGCACAAAGGUUCUCGGCGGCCCGGGGAGACGGCGGCUCCCUCCGCCCCUGAGGCGGCGAGCGGGGCCGCUGUUUGUGGGGCUUUCAGUCAGCGGAGCUGCACGCGGCGGUGCUCGUAGCGUCGCCCCGCGGGACCUUUCCCGAAGUGUCGAGCCAGAAUGCAGCAUCCCCGCCUCUGUCAGUGGCUGUGACGCCGGGGACCACCGCAGCGUCGCGCACGGCGCUGCUCCCCAGGACCGCGGUGGGACGACGCCUUCCGCGCCCCAACCCUUCUGUUGAGUCUUCAAGUCCAGGUAAGAAUUUCUGACAUUUCCUACAUUUGUGGGGGAAGAGGGUAUACUUCAAAAAUUCUCCCUCAGGGUCUUUUCCAGUUGUAACCUAAGGCUGUGGU
rnacentral:lncRNA from 1 species